rnacentral:lncRNA from 1 species
UGUUUUUUUCUCUUUUUAUACUUUCGUAGUUUAUUAUUUCUAGACUAAUACGAUAGAAUAAUUAGAUUAUCAAUUAGUCUACGUAUUGAUACAUAGACCUUAGUCGUAGCUAUUUUUCUUCCGUAAAACAGCGUGGCCCUGAUUUUUCAAAUAACCAUAACUUUUCAUUCGUUUAUCCAAAUUAGAUGAAACCAGCGCUUAGUUUCGUCUUGUUUUCACCUAUCCAGUUAACCUGUCAUGUCAACUUUUUGAAAUUUUCAAAUUUCGAAUUUUGUUCAGAUUCAUAUUCAAACUUCUUUUGAACAUAACUUGAGUUUCGUAACUCCGAUUUAGUUGAUUCUUUUUGCAAAUCGAAGCUCUUAACCUAAACUUUCUGAUAAGGCCAAAUUCACAUAAUUUUGGUACUGUUAGAAAUUGUUUUAUGUGACAAGAGUUAUUUUCUUGGUUUUGAUGUUUUCCGAACUGUCUUCUUCAUUCUUCCCGAUCUUUUGAGUGAUUGCUUAUGUGUGGUUACUAUUGCUUGCCUACGAUAGAUUGACCGGAGUGUGACGAGUAGAAAUUAUCAAGAGUUUUGAGUGCGAAUCAUCUUCAUCAACAGUACAUGCAAGUUCACACUUUGAUCAUAUCCCUUUCAUACCCAGUUUUUAUGCAUUAGUUUCACCCUCAAACAUUGCAUGAGUAGAAUUGAUAACAUGUGGGUAUUGGGAAGUAGUUGAUGAGGUAGGAACCUAUUGCCCUGCAUUCAAACCUUGGGAGUUACUACUACGUUAUGCUUAUACUGCUAUGCUAUGCUCGUAGACGUGGAUUGGUGUGAGAGAAUUCAUGAAAGAUGCGAGAGUUAUUAUUAUCUAAGGAAACUUAAGGUGGCUACUUUAAUACACAUCUGGGUGGAUUUGUUGGGGCACCUGGAGAACCCAGUGCUUGCCCAAGGGGAUCCUGGAGGACCCGUGUGAUCACCCAAUGGAAUGCCACCCAGGCUCAAAGGGAUCAUAAGAUUAUUCAUGCUAGAAACUUCCGUGUGCAGCCACAAGCUAUUAUGGGCUCUAGCAUAGUUGAGUAAGUUGCAUGAGCUCUUGAAGAGCUGGAUCAACAGGUAGAGGGAUGUAGGUUGGUAUGGUCUACCCGGAGUAAAGAGUUAAUGUUUCUAAAAGACUAUGUCUCGGUCAUCCGUUUCUCAAACACCAUGUAGUGCGAGAAAUCCAACGGAGGCGAUCAAGUCUUGUGGGGAAAAGUGCACAAACCUCUGCAGAGUGUACAAACUAAUCAUGAUUAGCUGUGUCCCUGGUUAUGGACAUCUUGAGUAUCUGGUUUUUGGAUUAUCAUGUUGAUCUCAACACUCUAUUUAAUUAACUUGAUUGGGUUAAUGAUUAUUAUUUUGGGAUUGACUUGGAGGAACCUUCUCAAUAUUUUAUCAACCAACUUUGUAGUUAAAUCAAAUAUAUUCCUUUGUAGUAGGGAAAAAUUGGCUUUUCGCAAAAACUUUAUAACCAUAGAGCCUUUCCACCAGCCAUAUAUGCAUGUAGUGAUAGUUAUUAUUCAUCAUUAUCCUAUGGUGGAAUUUGCCAGUACAUUCAAUGUACUGACCCUUUAUGGCUGCAACAUCUCAUGUUGUAGGAUAUCUUACGACGAGUAAGUGAUACGUUAGGGUUACGAUUUCUACACUCAACUUUGCCGUUGGUGUUGAUGGGAAUCCACAACCUUGUUGUUACUUCCGCUAUUUGGAUUGAGGUAAUAGCAUUUACGUUACUUUAUACAUGUGAUUUAUCUCUGUUAUAAAUCCUCGAGUACUGUGUGUGUGUCAGCAUACCGAUCCAGGGAUGACACUUAAGCACAGAGACUUGACCGUCUGAGGUCGGGUCGCUACAAGAUGGUAUCAGAGCACAUGUUGACUGUAGGACGUGACCCUAGAAACUGGCAAGCCCAUAGGAAGGAAUUUUCUCUAAAACUUUCUCUUUCAAAAAGAUCUUUUACCUCUCUUCUCUUCUGAGCUUAUUCAAAUAUUCCAUUUUAGUUAGACUAUACCCCCUUUCCCCUUUUGACCACACGAAGAUUGAACUAAUGCGACCACUCCAAGAAGUACAAGACAUCGGACAACCAAGACCACUUCGGAAUGAAGAGGAUUUUACCGUGCAUUAUGAUAAUGGAAACUACAACGGUUCAAGACUCCAAAGACUAGGAGGAUUUGAAGGCUCUGAAGAAUUCCCAGAUUGUAUGACCUAGGAAAGCUACCCUUAUGGAACUUGGCAGACUAUGGAAGCUGUCAAUACCCGAGAUCAAGAUGUAUCGGAGAAAGACCGGAACAUGGAGCAUUAGAACUCAAAGUUUUUAUCAAGAAAACCCUAAGGCAGGAGAUGUCAAUUAUGGAAUGAUAGCUCAUGGCAAUGACAAGGGCAGAAACACGGCUAUCCAUGGUAUUAUCGCCCGCUUAUGCUAUUCGCACCGUGCUGAGUUAAGCAUGCAUUUUUUUGGAAGGAUUGGAUGGGAGAAUGCUGAUGGAGCACCUAUCAGCAAAAGACGAAGUUUAACCUUAGCUGGCGUAUCACCGGGAUCUGGAGAAUUACAUCAGGAGUUUUAAGAUGGACCUGCAGGAAGCCGUAUUUUGACAAAGAAGCAUUUCGUGAAGAACUCGGGACCAGAAACUGAAAGUAGCCAAGCUGGAGGAGCAAAACCUCGAGAUACCGGAGAUUCGUCAGGAACUGAAGGACAGUAGGACCAUGGUUCAUGCCAAGGAUGUUGAAACCCAGAAGUUUGGAACGCAACUCCAGAAAUAUUAAAGGACGUCACGAUAGACUUUGCGACAACAGAGAUGAUCUGGCAAAAGAACUUGAGAAGGUCACGCACGAUCAGAAGAAGCCAUCGAAGACAUGAACAAGACAUUAAGAGUUUGGCCAUUUUGAAGAUUUAUUGACCUUUAGAAGACCAAACCCCUGUUAUACCUACGUUAGAUGCGACGUUUGUGAGCUGUCAUUUGUUUGAUGUUUUUCCCGACAACCACAAAUAAAAUCUGCCUUUUCAAAACUUUUGUUUGUAUUGUGUGCAUCCCUCUCGAUCUCUCUUAUCCCACCCCAAAACCCUUGGACCCAGUAGAGGAUGAAUGGAGAUGAACUCAUGUUUUCUGGACCGAUGAGUCAAUUGGAGACAGACCGAUGGAUUCAGAACAUGGAGGAUCACAUGAAGUAUAACUCUGUAGCCAAAAGGAUAUGACCCAGCAUGCUCUGCAGUGUUUUGAAAGAGGUGCUUCUACUUGGUGGAGGAUGUACCAAACCAUCAAUGGAUGGCAAAGAGUAACCACUUGGGAAGAAUUUAAGCUGACUCUGCAAAGAUCUCGUCUUGUGUCCCAGAAGUUGUGGCCUUAUGGAAAGGAUAUGAAGAAACCUUGUGCAUACAAGCUUUGUGGAGAAAUAGGACAAAACCAUAAAGAAAACAAGGACGAAUACCCUCAUAAGCGGAGGAUUACCAAAGGAGUUGGCCGAGGAUCUCAGGGAAAUUUGGUUGGAGAUUUUUCCCAAUGGUUUUGUUGCAGCAAUGGAAGUUCAGUAUACAUUGUUGGGAAAGAUCAGUGAAGCUCAGAAGGAUGACAAAUAGAUUGCUGAUGUAAAAGAGAUGAUGAGCAAAGGAAGGGCCAAAGGUUUUCGUAAGGAUGAGCACGACACCUUAUGGUUCGAGGACCGUGUAUACGUUCCCAAUAAUGCAAAGACCAGGAAGUUAAUACUUCAGGAGGCUAAUGACUCACCAUACUCAAUUCGCCCUGGAAACAUCAAGAUGUAUUUGGAUUUGAAGGACCGUUUCUGGUGGACCGAUAUGAAGAAGGAUAUUCCGGAGUAUGUAGUCGUAGGUGAUGUAUACCAGAGAGUAAAGGCAGAGCAUCAGAAGCCAGCCGGAUUACUACAACCCAUGCCGAUACCCGAAUGGAAGUGGGAUAAGCUUGGCAUGGAUUUCAUUACCGGAUUUCCCAGAACCCGACUGGGAUAUGAUUCUAUCUGGGUAGUAGUUGAUUCGCUUGACCAAAGUGGCUCACGUUAUCCCAGUGAAAACCACCUAUACAAGUGCGAAGUUGGCCAAGAUAUAUUUGACCAGGAUCGUAUGUCUGCAUGGAGUUCCGAGGACCAUCGUAUCAGAUAGAGGAACACAGUUUACCUCAAAGUUUUGGAAUCAGCUGCACCAGACUUUGGGUACUAGGCUAGAGUUCAGUACAGCCUUUCAUCCGCAGACAGAUGGAUAGACCGAGAGAGUCAAUCAGAUUCUGGAGAACAUGUUGAGAGCGUGUGCGCUAGAUUAUGGAUCUAGUAGGAUGAUAAUCUACCUUACGCGGAGUUCUCAUACAACAACAGUUGCCCAAAAAGGAAACCUCGAGACAUGUCAUAAGUAAUAUGUUUUCGUUGUAAUGAAGCAGGGCACUUUUCAAGAGAUUGUCCCAAGGAGAAGGAGACUUGUGAUAAUUAGUUGUUUCUUUGAGAAGUAUAGUAGUAGUAGUAGUAGAAGUAGUAGGAACAACUCUUUUGUAUUGAAGUGUUGAGUUGAGGCAUGUAAUGGAAAUGCAGGAGAUUGUAAUAAUUGGAGAAUCAAUAAAGUUAGCAUCGUUGGUACCGAUAUGGAUUUUAUAAGUUGUUACUCUAUGAAGAGAGAUUUUGACCAUUUUCGAGGAUAUGAGAAAUAUGGUCUAUGGAGGAAUUGGAGCAUUUUAAGUGUGGUAGUACCCUAUGAGAACACUUGAACCCUGGAGAAGAUAAAUGAUAUUCCACGGAGUGGACGUUGGACAAGAUAAUUACUAGUUUUGUCUCGAUAUGUGGCGUAUCCCAAGGAUAUAUGAAGUACUAUUGGAUAUAAACGAGGUAUGAUGUUGGUAAUAUGGAGCAAUUGUAACUCCAUGAUGAGUCGGAGUAAUCACGUCUUAGUUUUGGUACCCAUAGAAGGAAGAGAGACAUUAUAAUUGGAUAGAUUUAAGAAUGCCAGGAAGCUGGAUGUUGGAAUAAGGAUCAGUCACCCUGAUGAUGAAUUCAAGGUUUGCAAGUGAUGAGAUGGGCCAUAACCCACAGGCCCCAGGACUUGCCAAGAAGCAAGCACAUUCUUGCUGAAGGAAAAACCCUGGAAGAAGUUAUGAUUUUAUCAAUAGACGGUUUUAUAGGAGUAACGCAAAACCUGAGAGUUGUGAAGAAACGAUAGACGUUUGUUUGGCUUGCAGAAUCAAUGGAUUUUUCUGAACUUGGUUCGUCGACAAGAGAAACUUCUGCAAUGCUUGUGAGGAUGACCGAGUGUUAGAUUGCGAGGUUCGCUAAACCAUAUAUCAGGUAAUGAUUUGGGUGCAGGAUGGAUUGAUCACCAUACCGACUUACUCUUAUUAUUCGCCUUACUAUAUGGGAUGGUAAAUCUGAGUGACUUGCCUAUAGUGGAGAGACGACGAUCAAAACCUUGUUUGAACCUUAGAAUGGUAUAAGUAUUUUUCCCUUGUACAAGGCAGCUUUUGCCAACCGUAGGUUAUACGGUGAGGAUCAACCAAACCCAUUUCCUGCAAGAGAAACCAUAAAUCGUUGACCACCAUGAGAUAUCGAUAGUUGUUUAAUUUUGGUGCCAGACCCGUCAGCUAAGAAGACCCAGUCAUGGAAGAACCUUACCAAGAUGAAAGGACAGAAGAAUUGUGGUAAAGGUUAUGCCACUACGGAAGAGCCCAGAGAAGGAAUUAUCCUGAAGAUCUGAGAAGACCGACACUGUCAACGAUAAAGAUGAAGUAUAUGAGUAUUGAUGAGACCGUAACGAUGUUUCUAAAGGGUGGUAGCACCCCAAACCCCGGAGACGAUCGAUGGAAAUUGAGAAGACCCCAAACCUAACCUAUUUCUUUCUAGCCUCUCCGAAUCUCGAGGACGAGAUUCAUUUUAAGGGUGGUAGGUUUGUAACAUCCCAAAAUUCUAAAUAUUGGAAUGUUAUAAUAAAUAGAUAGUUUUGCUUGGUUGUAUGAUUGCUUGAGUGAAAUUGAGUGAAAUUCGUAUCUGUUUGAAAGUUAAAUGAGAGGGAAUAAAAGGACUUUUCCAAACUUUCAUUUUGCAUUUUGAUCUCCGUGAAUUCAAAUACUUUUCAAAUACAAAACCCUAGAGAGAAGAUGGCAUGACUUCUUCCAUUUAUUUAAAUGAAAAGGGUUUUGAAAAGAUUUGAAUUUUAUUUGGAAAUAUUUUCCAAUUCAAAAACUUUAAGCAACUCAAUGAUUUUCAUGAGAGAAGAUAAAAUGACUUCUUCAAAACAUAUGAAAUAUGAGUUGGAAGUUUAAAAGGAUCUAAUUUAAAGUCAUUUUGGAAAUUAUUUUCAAUUUGGAGUAUUUGGGUUUUAUUCAAAUUAAUUUUCUCCAAAAAUAUAAUAUAUGGAAAAUAGGGUAACAUGAUUCCCUACAGUAGAAAAUUGGAGAGAAAUAAAUUUGAAAUCAUUUUGGUGUUUUUAAAAUGAUUUUUAUGAGGUUUUAUUGCAGCAGUAGCACUCUUUGCUUUAUUUGAAUUUUUUUGUACUUUAUUUGAAGCUAGAAAAAUAUUCAUGUUGUAGAAAAUCGUUUUCUGAAGAUUUUGAUAUAUAAUAUUCCUAUAUAAAAUUUUUAUUUUAUUUUUCUUUAUUCGGUUUUCCGUCUGUUUCUAUUUAAAAAAUAACAAAAACUGUACAUGUGGCCCAUCACUAACUGCCGCCCAGGUGCACAUCAUAGUACCAGCGGGAGCCCCAUCUUUUUUGUUUCUUUUCCUAUAUGGGCCAGGCCCAGCCAGCCUUUUCAUUUUAUUUUCUUAGGCCGAAUUUUGUUUAAAAAAAACUGCAGCAGCGCGGCCGGCCGAACCGCCUUACACGUUUAGGCCCAUGCGACGCGCCUUCUCUAUUUCGUUUAGUCCCACAUUGCCUUGCCUAGCCUUUGACCCCUAAACCUCUUUUCCACCUAUAAAUAUAGACCCAUAGAGCCUAGAAAAAUCAUCCGACUCGGGUUAAAUCAAUAUUUUGGUUUGACUAGAUUCCUUAAAGAAAAAUAUUUUUCUCCUCUCCGGCGCGACUUUUAAGAAUUGUCCCCUCUCUCCGAAGUUAUCUUUUCUCUGCCUUAUAAGGGUAACUUUCUUUGUUUUUUCUCUUUUUAUACUUUCGUAGUUUAUUAUUUCUAGACUAAUACGAUAGAAUAAUUAGAUUAUCAAUUAGUCUACGUAUUUAUACAUAGACCUUAGCCGUAGCUAUUUUUCUUCCGUAAAACAGCGUGGCCCUGAUUUUUCAAAUAACCAUAACUUUUCACUCGUUUAUCCAAAUUAGAUGAAACCAGCGCCUAUAGUUUCGUCUUGUUUUCAGCUAUCCAGUUAACCUGUCACGUCAACUUUUUGAAAUUUUCAAAUUUCGAAUUUUGUUCAGAUUCAUAUUCAAACUUCUUUUGAACAUAACUUGAGUUUCGUAACUCC